GUCAGAAAAAAUUGGUAGAUCAAAAUGUUCUCUUCCAACCCUAGAUGGCUCAGAUGUAGCUGCUGUCAUCCCUCUGAUAAAGAUAAAAAGAUAAAGACAAAACUAUGAAGCAUAUGAGCAUUUACAACAAUCUUCACAAGAGGCUGCAGAAUGUGAAGUCCCCACAAAAGAGGCAGGGGCCCACUCCAGAGAGGGGCCAUUCAAAGAAAAGGAGUCUCAUUGACUUCUCAUCGAGUGACAGAGAAGAAAAUGAUGCAGACCCAAGUGGUGCAUCAACAAUUAUUUUGCAUCAAACAUCUGGGAGCAGUUCUGAUGAUGGCAACAGGUCACCUGAAAAAGACAGUCUGAUCAUACAGGCCAGACCUUAUAAAACUCUGCCGGAGAUGUUCAAGAAAACAAAACCAAACAAAGAUGCGGUCCACCAAAUCCUUGACCUCGAGUUUGAAGCAAGAAGAGCCUUCAUCGACAGUGAUGCCAUGAAAGAAGAGGACAGGCCAACAAAGAUCCUCGACGCCUACCCUUGUUUUAAGGAUCUUCAUCACGUGAUGAGUGAGCUGCAACGAAUCCUGGAUAAGGACAACAUCACAUACAUAGAUGAAGUAAAGAAGAGAUGGGAAGACUUCUGUGCCAAGGUGCAAUUUUACGGUGUUUCAAAGAAAGUGAUGAAGCCGCCCAUGAACCUGGAUGCAGUGGAAUAUGCCAUAGCUCUAUUCAAGGCACUUCCUGCCCUCUUUCCUUCACCAACUGCCCCACCGAAGAAGUUGGGAAAGCCAGUGAGGCAUUGCUUCAUGUCCUUCAGCCAACAGAAGAUCCCACCAUCUACCUUCAGAAGAGACCACACUCUGCACUUGUUUUGCUCUUUGAUGGGUCCCGCUGUCUUGUCACAUUUGGAACCACUCCCAUCACCACAUUUGCCAAGGAAGACCUUUGUGAAGGUUUGCUUUAUCUGAUGGCUUACUACUACACUCUGCAUCUCACCUAUCCAAAGUGUGUGGCAACCCUCCUCUCAGUCAUUCAGACAGAAAUAUUAGACAUGACGACCUCAUACAAAAAAGCCAUGACAGAAUGGAAGGAUUUUAUUGGGAUGUAGAGGUGUUCACUGUGUUAAACUACUAUACUAGAAUAACUGGCACCACCAGUUUCACUGUCGCGGUACUCUAAAUCGAUAGUAGUGUGCAUUGGAGUUUGUCAAGAGAAAAUUCUUUCUUCCUUUUUGUUCAAGUAUUCUCUGAUUGCCUUGUUCUUUGUUCCUUUAAUCAUCAAAGCAUAUUUUGUGCUGCAAAUGUUGGAUCUAAAAAGUUAAUAGAGGCCAAUGACGGUUAACUAGGUUUAUAAACAUUACAGGAGGUGGAAUGAACAGAAAAUUUGAAACUUAAUACUUUUUUCUGUAUCUGAAUGUCAGGUAAUCAGAUUCAGUGACGAUGACACAUAACCAUAAUGACCUCAAAGUUGUAUCACAUGUUUUCUGUUGCAAUGCUUCCGUAAUUGAGAAUAUGUAAUAUUUUGAAAAGCAACAAGUGUGUUAAAGGGCACAAAAUCUAAAUAAAUUGUUGUUGACAAUGAUCGUAUUCAUGCUUUGUCUCAUUUUAAGCCGCACAAGCUAAUAAUGAACAGUCUUGAAUUAAGUGAAAUUGUCUUGUAUAGUGGUUCUGCUUUUAAGAACCUUUCACUAAAAUUAAGAAAGGAAAAAAACUGAAAGAAGAAUGGACAUCUUAUUUUGAGUUUAUUUGACUUAAUACAGUGCUUGAAAUUAGUGUUUUACCACUCAUUACAAGACAUGUAUCACCUUUCUGAUGCCUAGAACAUUUUUCUUAUCUCAAGAAAUCUUACUGUGUAUUACUAAGUGUAAUAAUCUUACUGCACUGGCAGAUAAAUUAACUUGUUUUAAGUCUUUACCUUCUCAAAUUAAGUAAUUUUUACUUGCAUUUAGAUGGUUCAUUUUUGCAGUGUGCAUUUGAAGUCCGGCUCAAAUGUAUUUGAUUAUAUUUUUAACAGUCCUUUCCAUUGAUUUUUUUUGGUCAUUAGAUCAUAAAUUAUUCUUUUUUUUUUAUUCUGUGCCCCCUUUUGUCUUCAUCUGGCAAGACACAAUGAGACACGUUCUGUGAUUUUGUAUGUGGCCAGCUGAGAGAGAUGCUGCAUUUGCACACGAAUCAAAACUUCUUUUUUGUUGUUUUCUAACAUGAUAAAAAUAUGGGUAUUGCUGCAAUAUGGAACGGAUAAAGUAAUAUGUUAUUUCCAAUUUGUGCUCUACUUUAAGCAACAUCCGGUAGAAGUUUGGGUUAUGGAAUUAUCUUAUGAUUAUUUACAGUAAACUAGUGUGCAUGCACAAACAAAACAAAAAACGCCUAACUUGAAUAUUUUAGCCAUUUUUAGCAACUUACUGUGUCGUCAGAAGCAGUAGACACCGGGUUGUCCUCUUGGGUGAGAUACCUAAAAUUAAAAUCCUUGAUCAAGAAAUAUGUAGGCCUAAUGGACGUGUGCAUGUGUUCUACUUACUGAAUUGUAGAAGAACCUCACCCAUAUCUUCAGAAAUGUCCCUAACAAAAAUGUUGUGGUAAUGUUAAAACACUGAUUGGUAAAUUCCAUUCAUGUGGUGAAACCUUUAAGACUGUACAUUAUAACUGUAGGUUAUACAGUGGACAUGGUAAGAUCAUUUUUACCUUUAUACAAACAUACUUAACAUAGAUUAUGGGAAACUAGAAAAUGCAUUUCCUGCAGAAAAUGCGUGGGAAUGCUGAGUAGCUAAAGCUAAACUGGUUGAAUAGCUUAAAGCCAUGAGAAGAAGCUUAAGUAGUGGGAGUAGUUGAAAAAGUGGAAAUCGGUUUAAUAAGUUUGAAUUUAAUUAAAAAGUUAUAUACACUGCAUAGAACGAAAAAGCAUCAAUUUAGCUGAGAUGAGAUGUGAAAUAUAUUAGGUGAAAAGAAUGGGGCUGAACAAGAAGGAGAGGAAAGAGAGGAGAGGAAUAGAGAAGAAAGAAGAAGAGAAAGAAAGAGAGGGAGACAGGAGGGAGGGAUACAGUUAGAGGGAGGUAGGGACACACAGACAGAUAAGGAGACAGAAGCAUUCCUGCUAAUUAUGCCACAUAUGUUUACAUGAUACCUGUAGCUGGUAGCUUUGUAGCUAGCUUCUAGCAUGUUUUACUUUUGUUUAUGUCUUUGCUUAGUUCUUUCUGGAACGGGUGCUUCGUCGUUGACGAGGUACCUUUUUGUAACGUACUGGAUCUGGAUUCUUUUUCUUUAUUUGUUGCUUAUUUACCACAGACCGUAAAGCAUACUGGCAAGCAUGUGUCCACUCUGGUCCGAUCGGCCGCUACAGCGUCGCAUGCGAAUUACAUCAUCACCCGCGCUGGGCCGCUUGUGGAUGACGUCCUUCACAUGCAGGUGCCAUCUUAUCUUUCGCGCCGAAAGAUAACGGCUGGGACUAAGUAAAAAGUAUUAAAAAUGGAGACAUCAGCGUCCCGCUAUGUCCUACUUGAAUGGACUGAGGGUGAUGAUGGACUGUGUCCGGAAUUUUUCAGUUCAAGAAUUUUUUGCCUCGACUGAACAAAACGAGAAGCUGGUGGAAUGACGAAAAGGCCGCCAACCCUGGCCGGUUCACCGAGCCAAAAUUAUUGACGUGGCAAAAGUGAUGUUACGAGAUGUGCCGACGCUUCGAAGCGUGUGUCGAGUAAUGGAGGGGGCGUUUCCUCGAAGCGCGUAUUGAGGCUCGCUUCCAAAAAUGAUGACGUCCGAAGCCCGGCUGUACCACGUUACUGCUUCAGGAAGUGGUUCAGAUUUUGCCGGGAGGUUUGACAGCAAAUGUCACGGAAAUAGCUUCGAGGAAAACGCUUCGAGGAAACGCCCCCUCCAUGUUAUGUCCAGCCCUGAGUAUUAAGUUAAGUUGGCUGGAUAUUUAUAAUUUAUUCUUCGGUUAUGUGUUGUUAUAGUUUACUCACCUCUCCUCUCGUUUCAGACUCCUCCCCCCCCCCCCUCAGGUGUGUGGGUUCCACCUGGGUGAUUGUCAGCUCCUCCCUGAUUGUUUGCACCUGGCCCUCAUCACCCGGUGUAUUUAGUCUGUGGGUUCCUGUCCUCUGUUGCCAGUUCAUCUUUGAUACACCAUGUUCCUAGCGUUCCAGCAUUCAUUCCUGAUAGCCUUCCUGUUACCGACCCCUGCCUGGUUAACGAGUUACGUCUCUGCCUUUUCCCUGCCGGAUACCUUGCCUAGUGAUCGACUGCCUGCCCGUGUACCGACCUUGGACCAGAAUUUUUACAAACUCUGCACCUGCCAGCCUCCUGUUGGGUCAUUAUACCCGUGUUUGUACUGCCAUCCGACAGUAAAGUUGGUUAACUGCACCUUCUUGUGUCUCCGAGUCGUGGAAUUGGAUCCACACACUUGUCUGCACACCUCACACUCCAUUACUCGACACACGCUUCG
ensembl:lncRNA